UACAGAGGGGGCAAGCGUUGUUCGGAAUUACUGGGCGUAAAGGGCGCGUAGGCGGCCUGUUAAGUCGAACGUGAAAUCCCCGGGCUCAACCCGGGAACUGCGUCCGAUACUGGCAGGCUUGAAUUCGGGAGAGGGGUGUGGAAUUCCCGGUGGAGUGGUGAAAUGCGUUGAGAUCGGGAGGAACACCAGUGGCGAAGGCGGCACCCUGGCCGAGGUCUGACGCUGAAGCGCGACAGCGUGGGGAGCGAACGGG
rnacentral:rRNA from 1 species